rnacentral:rRNA from 1 species
AUUGAACGCUGGCGGCAGGCCUAACACAUGCAAGUCGAACGAGUGGCGGACGGGUGAGUAAUGUCUGGGAAACUGCCCGAUGGAGGGGGAUAACUACUGGAAACGGUAGCUAAUCCCGCAUACCUUCCGAUGUGCCCAGAUGGGAUUAGCUAGUAGGGGGGGUAACGGCGCACCAAGGCGACGAUCCCUAGCUGGUCUGAGAGGAUGACCAGCCACAAUGGAACUGAGACACGGUCCAGACUCCUACGGGAGGCAGCAGUGGGGAAUAUUGCACAAUGGGCGCAAGCCUGAUGCAGCCAUGCCGCGUGUAUGAAGAAGGCCUUCGGGUUGUAAAGUACUUUCAGCGAGGAGGCGUUACUCGCAGAAGAAGCACCGGCUAACUCCGUGCCAGCAGCCGCGGUAAUAC